rnacentral:lncRNA from 1 species
GCGGUGCCGACACCGACAGCAGCCACUACGAGUCCUACGGGGAGGACGAGGACGGCGCGACGGACCGUUCCCAUUACCGGCGGUGCCCUCCAGCGCGCCCCCCCCCCCCGGCCGACCCCCCCGGCCGCCCCGAGCCUCAGCUGUGCGGGUUCCUCUGGAGGAAGCGCCGGUUGGGGCGGUGGGCAAAGCAGCUCUUUGUGGUGCGGGAGCACACGCUGCUGGGCUUCAGGUGCGCGGCCGACCCGCAGCCGGCGCUGCAGUUGGACCUGCGGGGCUGCUGCGUGGCCUACAAGGAGAAGCGAGGAGAGCGGCUGCGGCACGCGCUGAAGGUGGUGGGGACGGAGGGCAAAGCGCUGCUCAUCGGCUUCCCCAGCAGGCAGCAGGCGGAGGACUGGAGGAAGGUGAUCGAGGAGGUCAGCAGCAGUGCCCCGAGUGGGCUGGCAGCCUGCAGCCCCCCGGCAGCGCCCUGCAGAGCGUUCGGCAGGGCUGCCAACCCGAAGGAGGAGGAGGAGGAGGGGGAGGACGGCACCCGGCGGAGCCCUCCCGCAGCCCCAGCGAGGCCACCAAAGGAGGUUUCCUGGCGCUGCGGCUCCGUGGGCGUUGGCGGCGGCUGUGGUGCGCGGCGCGGCGGGGAGCCCUGCGGAUGUUCGCCGAGGCGGGGGGCCCCCCGCGCCCCCCCCCCCGCGCCGUGCUGCGGGAUGGCUCCAACGCCACCCCCUCCGGGUCCCCCCAACGCCUCCACGUCGCCCGGAGGGUCCGGGAGUUCACCGCGCUGCAGACCCGUUCGGACGAGGAGAGGGAAGCGUGGCUGAAAUCCCUGCGGGCGAAGGGAGGAGGGCGCCCGGCGGGGGCCAACCCGUGUGCGGAGACCCCCGGGGUGGGGGAUGGCGGCCGCUCACCCGCAGCGGGCGGGCUGCUCCUGCGCCGCGUCCCCACCCCCAACGCCUACAUGGACGACCCCUUCAGGCAGCCCCCAUCAUCGGCAGCCUCCCGGUACCUCUACUCCAACACGGAGCGGCUGCAGCGCUUGCAGCACAGUUUGGACCGGGCGGUGCGAGGGCAGCGCAGGAGACCCACAUCUGCAGUGCCCAGCAGCAGUGCUGCGUCCCCGCAUGGAGCAGCGGCAGUUUCCCAGGGCUGGCAGUGGGAUGAGGGCAGCCCACAGCUCCACACCAGGGAUUUCUUUUGCUCUCAGCGCACCCUGACGCUUCCCCAGGGGAAAGGAUCUGGGGACAGCCUGGAUUUCCUCACCGGGAAGAGAGCCGCCUCCAGGCUGGAGAAGGGCGGGCUGAAGUCCGGCUCCGAGCUGACCCUGCUGCCCCACAGCAAGUCACCCACGGCCAGCUGCGAGGUGUGGGACUGCAGCCACCACCAGGGCUCUUUCCUUUCGCCCCUCCUGAAGCGCUCUGCGUCUGCCAAGAGCGCGUGGAGGCGCUCCCCAUCCGCGGGCAGCACGGAGAGAGGAAAGGUGCUGCAGAAGAGAAAGGAGUGGGAGAUGAAGGCAGCGAUGUGACCGCUGUGAUGCUGCGCAGGGCGGACCGAGCCGGGAUGUGGUGCUGCAGCGCCGCUGUGGGGCCGUGCGGGGGGUACACACGGACACCCCCCACGCUCUGUGGGUUCAGUGCUUCUCUGUGUUUACGGUGGGGGUUUCCCCGUGGGGUGGAGGUGGUGGAAAUGGUGCCCGGUGGCGCCCAACGGUGCCCAAUAGAACCCAACAGUGCCCGAAUGGUGUCCGGUGUUCCCCGGGGGUACCCAGCAGUGCCCAAUGGAGCCCAGUGGUGCCCAACGAGUGCCCGGUGAUGCCCAGCGGUCCCCAACUGGUGUGUAAUGGUGCCUAAAUGCUGUCGGUUGGUGCCCAAAUGGUGCCCAAAUGGUGCCCAGUGGUGUCCAAGAGUGACCAAAUGGCACCCAGUAGUGCCAAACUGGAGUCCAGCAGCACACCAACUGUGCCUACUGGUGCCCAAAUGGUGCCCAGGGGUUCCUGAUGGUGCCCAACAGUGCCCAAAUGGUGCCCAGGGGUUCCUAAUGGUGCCCAACAGUCCCCAAAUGGUGCCCAGUGGUUCCUAAUGGUGCCCAACAGUGCCCAAAUGGUGCCCAGUGGUGACCAGUAGUGCCAAACUGGAGUCCAACGGCACACCAACUGUGCCUACUGGUGCCCAAAUGGUGCCCAAAUGGUUCCUGAUGGUGCCCAACAGUGCCCAAAUGGUGCCCCAAUGGUGACCAGUAGUGCCAAACUGGAGUCCAACGGCACACCAACUGUGCCUACUGGUGCCCAAAUGGUGCCCAAAUGGUUCCUGAUGGUGCCCAACAGUGCCCAAAUGGUGCCCCAAUGGUGACCAGUAGUGCCAAACUGGAGUCCAACGGCACACCAACUGUGCCUACUGGUGCCCAAAUGGUGCCCAGUGGUUCCUAAUGGUGCCCAACAGUGCCCAAAUGGUGCCCAAUGGUGACCAGUAGUGCCAAACUGGAGUCCAACGGCACACCAACUGUGCCUACUGGUGCCCAAAUGGUGCCCAGGGGUUCCUGAUGGUGCCCAACAGUGCCCAAAUGGUGCCCAGGGGUUCCUAAUGGUGCCCAGCAGUACCCAUAUGGUGCCCCAAUGGUGACCAGUAGUGCCAAACUGGAGUCCAGCAGCACACCAACUGUGCCUACUGGUGCCUAAAUGGUGCCCAGGGGUUCCUGAUGGUGCCCAACAGUGCCCAAAUGGUGCCCAGGGGUUCCUAAUGGUGCCCAACAGUGCCCAAAUGGUGCCCAAUGGUGACCAGUAGUGCCAAACUGGAGUCCAACGGCACACCAACAGUGCCUACUGGUGCCCAAAUGGUGCCCAGGGAUUCCUAAUGGUGCCCAACAGUGCCCAAAUGGUGCCCAGGGGUUCCUAACGGUGCCCAAAUGGUGCCCAGCGGUGCCCUGCAGCCCUCGGGGGGGGCACGGAGCGCUGUCCCUGGAGCUGACCCGGCCGGGACGUGGAGGAGGGCGGGGGGGGGGGAGGGGCUGAGCCUUCUGCCCUCCCCUCCCCCCGUGGGCACAUCGCGGGGCGCAGUGGGGCCGGAGGAGUCCUUCAGCAGCUGCAGCUGCGCCAGGACGGGCAGAUCCGGAGCAGCUGCGUUUGUUGCCCUUUGUUUUGGAACCAUAGAAACAUUUUUUGUGUGUGUGUUUGUACGGAUUUAUCUUUUAUUAUUAUUAUUAUUAUUAUUAUUAUGUUUUUAGAAAGAUUAAACCGCCGUCAAACCCGGCUUCUCGCGG